rnacentral:snRNA from 1 species
UGAUUUGGCUCAUCUGGUUGGCUAGGCAGUUGUCCCUUCCCUCCCUCACUGCUCAAUGUGCAUCCCUCCCAAAGCUGUGCACUCAGUCAAAGGACAACCAUCCCCGAUAGAAGAGAAACAGUCUUCAGUCAAGGGUACACAAGUAGCUGCACUCCCCUUCUAGAACCUCCAAACAAGUUCUCAAGGUCCAAUAUGUAUAUGUUUUAAUAUGCUAGAUAUUAUGACUGAAUUGUUACAGUAUCUUUAUCCAUGUC